UUGAGGUGAAAUGCUUACACUUUCAUUUAUAGACCAAAUUAAUGUUUAAUAUCUAAUUUUAAAUUAUAAUAUUAAAUCUUAAUCUAACCUAUGGCAUUCAUCAUUUACUGCAAAGACUACUUGGGUAUCUAAUCCUGUUUGUGCUCUGUGCCUUCGUCCUUUAACGUCAGUUUUCACAUAGAGGGCUGCCUUCGCCUUUACCGAGUCCCUUUGGUAUCAUAGAAUUUCAUCUCUCCUCCUCAAGUACUGCCCUCUUACAUAAAACUCUAGUCAAGUACUAACAUUUUAGAAGCUAUAUUGACCGUCUAGGUACCCUUUAAACCUAAUUAAGAUGAAUAACACUAGUCUCUUACGUAUUACCGCGACUGCUGGCACGCAAUUAGUCAAGACACGAUAUAUAUACUGUCAUUAUCAAUAUAUAAACAAAGCUUUAUUCAAUUUUAAUACAAUCCUAUAGAU
rnacentral:rRNA from 1 species